rnacentral:miRNA from 1 species
AUCUGAAGAAAAUAGCGGCAU